rnacentral:tRNA from 1 species
ACCUGGGUGGCUUAGUCGGUUAAGCAUCUGACUUUGGCUCAGGUCAUGAUCUCACCACUCGUGGGCUCGAGCCCUGCAUCAGGUU